AUUGAACGCUGGCGGCAUGCCUUACACAUGCAAGUCGAACGGCAGCACGGGCUUCGGUCUGGUGGCGAGUGGCGAACGGGUGAGUAAUGUAUCGGAACGUACCUUUCAGUGGGGGAUAACGUAGCGAAAGUUACGCUAAUACCGCAUAUUCUGUGAGCAGGAAAGCAGGGGAUCGCAAGACCUUGCGCUGAUUGAGCGGCCGAUAUCAGAUUAGCUAGUUGGUGAGGUAAAGGCUCACCAAGGCGACGGUCUGUAGCGGGUCUGAGAGGAUGGUCCGCCACACUGGAACUGAGACACGGUCCAGACUCCUACGGGAGGCAGAAGUGGGGAAUUUUGGACAAUGGGGGCAACCCUGAUCCAGCCAUGCCGAGUGAGUGAAGAAGGCCUUCGGGUUGUAAAGCUCUUUCGGCCGGGAAGAAAUCGUAUGGGUUAAUACCCUGUGCGGAUGACGGUACCGGCAUAAGAAGCACCGGCUAACUACGUGCUAGCAGCCGCAGUAAUAC
rnacentral:rRNA from 1 species